GGCGGGAUGGCAGAGCUGGCUUAUAGCAUCCGACUUCUAAUCGGACGGGGUGUGUUAGUAGCACACCCCCAAGGGUUCGAAUCCCUUUCCCGCCG
rnacentral:tRNA from 1 species